rnacentral:piRNA from 1 species
UUGGUUACCCCUCUCUCUGAGCCCUUCUG